rnacentral:rRNA from 1 species
AAUAGAUACCCGGGUAGUCCAUGCCUUAAACGAUGUAUACUAGGAGUAAGAGGGCUCAACCCCCCUUGUUUCGGAGCUAACGCAUUAAGUAUACCGCCUGGGGAGUACGCUCGCAAGGGUGAAACUCAAAAGAAUUGACGGGGGCCCGCACAAGCAGUGGAGCAUGUGGUUUAAUUCGAUGCAACGCGAAGAACCUUACCUGGGCUAGAAGUGUAGAGGACGAUAUCAGAGAUGAUAUUUCCCGUAAGGGUCUUUACAUAGGUGCUGCAUGGCUGUCGUCAGCUCGUGCCGUGAGGUGUUUGGUUAAGUCCAGCAACGAGCGCAACCCUUAUCGUUAGUUGCCAACACGUGAAGGUGGGAACUCUAACGAGACUGCCUGGGUUAACCAGGAGGAAGGUGAGGAUGACGUCAAGUCCGCAUGGCCUUUAUGUCCAGGGCUACACACGUGCUACAAUGGUCGGUACAGAAGGCAGCGAAACCGCAAGGCGGAGCAAAUCCUUUAAAACCGAUCUCAGUUCAGAUUGUAGUCUGC